rnacentral:rRNA from 1 species
GGGUGAGUAACACGUAUGGAACCUGCCCGCAGCAGGGGGAUAAGCGGAAGAAAUUCCGUCUAAUACCGCGUAACAACGUUGGGAGGCAUCUCCCGAUGUUUAAAGAUUUAUCGGCUGCGGAUGGCCAUGCGGCGCAUUAGCUAGUCGGCGGGGUAACGGCCCACCGAGGCGACGAUGCGUAGGGGUUCUGAGAGGAAGGUCCCCCACACUGGUACUGAGACACGGACCAGACUCCUACGGGAGGCAGCAGUGAGGAAUAUUGGUCAAUGGCCGAGAGGCUGAACCAGCCAAGUCGCGUGAGGGAUGACGGCCCUACGGGUUGUAAACCUCUUUUGUCGGGGAGCAAAGGGAGUCACGUGUGACUCAUUGAGAGUACCCGAAGAAAAAGCAUCGGCUAACUCCGUGCCAGCAGCCGCGGUAAUACGGAGGAUGCGAGCGUUAUCCGGAUUUAUUGGGUUUAAAGGGUGCGCAGGCGGAGGUGCAAGUCAGCGGUCAAAUUGCGGGGCUCAACCCCGUACUGCCGUUGAAACUGCAUCCCUUGAGUGCGCGAGAAGUAUGCGGAAUGCGUGGUGUAGCGGUGAAAUGCAUAGAUAUCACGCAGAACUCCGAUUGCGAAGGCAGCAUACCGGCGCGCAACUGACGCUCAUGCACGAAAGCGUGGGUAUCGAACAGGAUUAGAUACCCUGGUAGUCCACGCAGUAAACGAU